rnacentral:rRNA from 1 species
UGCGGUGGUUAUAGCGAAGGGGUUCACCCGUUCCCAUCCCGAACACGGCAGUUAAGCCCUUCAGCGCCGAUUGUACUGCCAGGGUAACCUGGUGGGAGAGUAGGACGCCGCCGCAU